UACGUAGGGGGCAAGCGUUGUCCGGAUUUAUUGGGCGUAAAGAGCGUGUAGGCGGCCAGACAGGUCAGCUGUGAAAACUCGAGGCUCAACCUCGAGACGUCGGUUGAAACCGUCUGGCUAGAGUCCGGAAGAGGAGAGUGGAAUUCCCGGUGUAGCGGUGAAAUGCGCAGAUAUCGGGAAGAACACCCGUGGCGAAGGCGGCGACCUGGUCCGAUACUGACGCUGAGGCGCGAAAGCGUGGGGAGCAAACAGG
rnacentral:rRNA from 1 species